AGCUCCAAUAGCGUAUAUUAAAGUUGUUGCAGUUAAAAAGCUCGUAGUUGGAUUUCGGAGCCGACCGGGCGGUCUGUCGAGAGACACGCACUGCACGGUGGCUCUUCCUCUCGGAGGCCCUGGCUGCCCUUAACUGGAGCGGGCAGGGGAUUCGGGACGUUUACUUUGAAAAAAUUAGAGUGUUCAAAGCAGGCUUAGGCCGUUGGAUAUAUUAGCAUGGAAUAAUGAGAUAAGGCCGCGGUGGUCUUUUCUGUUGGUUUGCCACACGCCGCAAUGGUAAAAAGGAACAGUUGGGGGUAUUCGUAUUCAACUGUCAGAGGUGAAAUUCUUGGAUUUGUGGAAGACGAACUACUGCGAAAGCAUUUACCAAGGAUGUUUUCAUUAAUCAAGAACGAAAGUA
rnacentral:rRNA from 1 species